CCCUUAGAUGUCCUGGGCCGCACGCGCGUUACACUGAUGCAUUCAACGAGCUUAUAACCUUGGCCGAGAGGCCUGGGCAAUCUUGUUAACGUGCAUCGUGAUAGGGAUAGAUUAUUGAAAUUAUUAAUCUUGAACGAGGAAUUCCUAGUAAACGCAGAUCAUCAAUCUGCAUUGAUUACGUCCCUGCCCUUUGUACACACCGCCCGUCGCUACUACCGAUUGGAUGAUUUAGUGAGGCCCUCGGAUUGGUCCGGACUCGGGGGUUCCUCCCUUGGGUCCAGGUGCCGAGAAGACGGCCAAACUUGAUUAUCUAGAGGAAGUAAAAGUCGUAACA
rnacentral:rRNA from 1 species